ACUCCUGUACUGAUGACUGAUCCAUCUCUUUUGCAUUGGUAUCAAAAACCGAGUCACAAGGAACUGUAGAUACCGGAAUUGAUAAAUUGUCACGAGCCAUCUUUGAAUGAGUUGGGUACAUCAUCUGGUUUAAUUUCCACCAGCCUAGCACAUCAAACUCGUAGACUCGAGGCAACAGAGGCUCCGCCAAAUACUGAUGCAGCUCUGUCUUCAAAUUCUUCAUGAUGUAGACAUGAAAUUCUUGCGCAUAGUGUGGUGCCAGAGGCGGAGGCAUUGUAAAGUAUUACUGAAAUAGCUCGUGGAUUCGAUCAUCAACCAUCUUGAUACAUGUCGGAGCUUCUUCUUCCCUAUAAAUUCUGGUGAAACUGAACUCAAUAUACUUCAUCUUGUACCCCGAGCUCGGAUCCAUGACCACUGCUGUAGCCAAAGUCAGGCUACAAUUCUUCCCGUACCUAUUAAUUUUUUCUAGCAUUGUUCGAGCAAGGUUACUAACAAGGGGUUCCUCAUUGGUGAUACCUCCAGACAGAUGUCCCUCAAUCCUUGACACUUCAUGGAAGAAUAUAUUUGCAGUUAGGUUAGUUGUAGUAGCUAGGAUGUAUGCUGUAUCAAAAAUUGGCUUCAAAUGUGCGCAGAGUCUCACCUUGCUUCCAAUCUUCCAUUGAGGGGACUUGUUUGUUGAAUUCGGCAUCAUAUGUAUCCAAGCAAGAAAAAACUUGCUUCAACUCCGAAGCAGCCACCAACAUUUGAUAUGCGGUAUUCCACCGAGUUUGCUUAUCAACAAAUAUGGUCCUUUCACUUGGGACUUGAAGCUGUUUCUUAAGAACAAGAAACUUUUCAUCAUGGGACCAUGAAGUCGUCACGUACUUGAUGCUGUCCCGGAUUUUCUUCAAUAGUUGACCAUUGAAGGGAAGAUGAAGCUUUAAACUUUCAAAAAAGCAGCUUCACUCAUGAUUAGUGGCUGAUCAUGAUAAGUGAUAGAAAAUAACUUGCUCUCCAGAAUCCAAUUAUGAAGGCAAACCUUAACAGCAUGGCUAACAGACACAUACCCCACCCCUUGAGAGGAAGUCCACACGUCCAAGAAAGGCAGACGCGUGCAGCUAUGCCCUGAAUAAACUUUUGAGCCUUUACUAUAUGCAUAGCUUCGCUUGCAUUGGUUGCAGUAUGCCCUUCUACACCCAGCACUCACAGUUUCUAUGGUGAAGUGCUCCCAAACCAUGGACUUCCUUUUCUUCCGCUUGCUAGGUUUUGUUUCAUGAUUUGUCUCCUCAUUGUUUGGAUAGGAGUCUGCCCCACUCAAUGUAUUGCUUAGUGUUGCUACUUUCAAAUACCCAGAUAAGAACAUUGAUAAAAAAUCUCAACAUUAUCAAGUGCAGUGAUGAAUACCGAGAUCGCCCUUCCCGGUUGCAAAGCAGAUGAACCAAAGGCGUCUUCUGGAAUAUAUUAUUGCAGGUUUUGUGAUAAAAAAAGGGCAAUCAUAUCACUGCAGCGUGCCCCUGGGACCCCGAUAAUGACUGUAAUUCCGAUGAUGACAUUGACCCGGAUAUUUUAGAAUAUAGUGGGGAAAGGGAGGGAUAUUCAUGGUCUUGUUUGUUGGGAUGUGGUGGUAUAUAUCUCUUGUACAUUCGAUCAUGGUUUCACCAGAGGACUAUAUGUUGAAAAGCUUUGCAACACCAAAAUAAGUUUGGUCACUGGACUUAUGAGUGCUCAAUUAAACCAACAUAUGAUAUUAUGAUGUGGGCAAGAGUAACAGAAGUGCUUGAUGAGAUGAAGGAAUAAUGAGAAACUUAUAGUUAAAUUUAUAGUCUUUGAAAUUUUAGAUGUGAAGCAGCUCAACACAGAGCCUCUACGUUGUACCCAUUUAGACCUUUCAACUCUUCCUUGCUGAAGAGAACAAAAUGUAGAAGAGGCUUCUCAUAUAAAGCUAGCUCUACAAGUACAAGAAGCAGAGCAAAACAGACUCAGUGAGUAUUGAAAUGAAAGAGGAGCAGAAGGAACAUAUAGAUAGAGACAAUCAUCACCUGCUGCUUCUGAAUGUGUUUUUAGGGUUUGAAAUGAGAGGUAUGGUGAAGAAGGAACGUGAAGAAGUUGCAUAUUUUUGAGAGGGAAACGAUGUGGGAGAAAGGGAGGUGACAAAGAAGCAGGAAGUGAUCAGUGGCCUCUGUCAAGUGUCAAGUGUGAACCUCAUGUUAUUAGUUUUAUUGCGUCAUGCCAAGUCUCUAUAUUGUAAUCUCCAAUCAGAUUUCAGAACCCAAUCCCCUUGGGGUCAAAACGACCCGUCGUGUAUUCAUGAACAAUGUUUCCAAUCAAUCAUAUUUACAGUAUUAUCAGGUACUCUUCUUUGAAUUUAUGAAGGCAAUGAUAACAGUGAAUAUGAAAAUCUCUCCAAUGAUAACAGUGAAUAACUAGGAUAACAUCGGGAAUGACAAAUGCGUCAUACGGUCACAAACCUUGCCUCCAAAGGCCUUCUUCCCAGGACAAAUCAGAGUCUUCUCAAUCAGUGACCGGAGUCUUAUAGCCGGAAGAAAUCUUGUCCGUGAUAUAAUUAAAUCGCUUGUGACAAUGACUAAGGAAAAAUGCCUGUACAAAGACGGCAAAAUUAAUCAGAGUUUCAGGAGAAAUAUAAAAGCAAUUUGAAGCAAAUAGUAAGUCACAUCAGCAAGCCUCGCCCUUAUUUAAUGCCACAGCUUACAGCAGAAUCCGUUGCGUUUCCUCUUGCGGGAUAUGUUAUCUCAAAAGGAGUCAACUAACUGUCCUGCCAAGCUACUUGGAUCAUCAAUCAUAGUUUGAAGAAAGGUGUUUCACCACCCUACGUUCCAGAUCAGUUGAUCUCAAACUGAACCAUGUUAGCAACUUCAAUCUGAAUUCCUCUGUAAGGUGACCCUCGCAUUCCAGCCUCCUGAUUAUUUUCACACAGUGCUCAAAGUUCUCAUCCAAGCAACAAGAACCAUUUUGCAAUGGUGGCCCAUUUAUCAGGGUGCUGUCACAAUCAUGGGUCUCUUUAUUUGUGUUUCCUUUCCUCUUCCUGCAAAUUUCUGCCCGGUAAUCACAGCAGGGACAUCCCCAGUAAUCCCACGAGUCCAGGUCUGUGAAUCACCACUACCACGUGAUCUUGCUAGGCCAUUCUUCACCAUGUCAUGAGACACAGCAUCAUCAUCUGCCUCCACAGCCUGCUGCAAACUGCAUCCAUUAUCUUCAUCUCUGGAGGACUCAGAGGGCGGGGUUAGCUCUUCAUUCAGAUCGGGCAUUGAAAGCACAUUUAAGUGAAACCCACGUGAAACAGAAGGCAACUCUUCUUGUAGAAUUUCGUUUCAGUUUUUAUCGGGUUGCUGGGUCCACAACAUUUGUCUCUGUUGGCACUACAAAAGCCCUCUUAGGAGCCUCUCUGUUGAGCCUGAGCCAGACGAAGUAUCUUCCCAAGAUCACAAACUUUAAAUUUGGAAGAAGGCACAACUGCUGUCGUAGUUUCAGACUCCCUCGUGGCACCAGAAUUUGCCUCAAUGACGGGGAUUCAAAAGAGAUUCCUGCAGACCGGUGAAUCCGGGAUUUUGUGAAUUAUCUCAACACUCUUGGUGAAACACUGCCUCAGAGUGACCCAAAUCACCAGCCUCAGUAUCAGAUAUUAUCCUAAAUGUAUACUCUGUGCAAGGCUGCAAAU